UACGUAGGUGGCAAGCGUUGUCCGGAUUUACUGGGCGUAAAGAGCGCGCAGGCGGUCGUGCAAGUCGCGUGUGAAAGCCCCCGGCUUAACUGGGGAGGGUCACGCGAUACUGUUCGACUCGAAGGCAGGAGGAGGGAAGCAGAAUUCCCGGUGUAGUGGGUGAAAUGCGUAGAUAUCGGGAGGAAUACCAGUGGCGAAGGCGGCUUCCUGGCCUGUUCUUGACGCUGAGGCGCGAAAGCUAGGGUAGCAAACGGGG
rnacentral:rRNA from 1 species